UACAGAGGUGGCAAGCGUUGUUCGGAAUUACUGGGCGUAAAGGGCGCGUAGGCGGCCUUCUAAGUCAGACGUGAAAUCCCCGGCUUAACCUGGGAACUGCGUCUGAUACUGGGAGGCUUGAGUAUGGGAGAGGGAUGUAGAAUUCCAGGUGUAGCGGUGAAAUGCGUAGAUAUCUGGAGGAAUACCGGUGGCGAAGGCGGCAUCCUGGACCAUAACUGACGCUGAGGCGCGAAAGCUAGGGGAGCAAGCGGGG
rnacentral:rRNA from 1 species